rnacentral:rRNA from 1 species
AUUGAGCGCUGGCGGAAUGCUUUACACAUGCAAGUCGAACGGCAGCACGGGGGCAACCCUGGUGGCGAGUGGCGAACGGGUGAGUAAUACAUCGGAACGUGCCCAGUCGUGGGGGAUAACGUAGCGAAAGUUACGCUAAUACCGCAUACGAUCUACGGAUGAACGCGGGGGACCGUAAGGCCUCGCGCGAUUGGAGCGGCCGAUGUCAGAUUAGGUAGUUGGUGAGGUAAAGGCUCACCAAGCCGACGAUCUGUAGCUGGUCUGAGAGGACGACCAGCCACACUGGGACUGAGACACGGCCCAGACUCCUACGGGAGGCAGCAGUGGGGAAUUUUGGACAAUGGGCGCAAGCCUGAUCCAGCCAUUCCGCGUGCAGGACGAAGGCCUUCGGGUUGUAAACUGCUUUUGUACGGAACGAAAAGGCUCUGGUUAAUACCUGGGGCUCAUGACGGUACCGUAAGAAUAAGCACCGGCUAACUACGUGCCAGCAGCCGCAGUAA